CUUUUUUGAUGUCACCACUGCCAGAUACAAACCCAAUUAGCAGCAGAGUUAACUCAGAUGCAUCCUGGGAACAUGGAAAUACUGCGUUCUACAGCUAGUUAGACCCAUGGAAGGAUGACACCUCUGGAUGUCAUCAGGAAGGUGCCCCCCAGCGGGCUGUCUCAUCUAGCCUGGAUGGUUCAUCUCCCAGUCCUGCUACAGAGUCUCUGAUCUUUGAGACACAAGGCUGUCCUCUGAGAGACACCUGGAAAGGUGAGCAUUUGACUGCCAGCUGAUGAACAUUCUUUGAAGAGUCCAUAGCCCUCCCAGGCCCCUGGCCCACCUGGAGGUGCCUUUACUUUCUUUCCCUGUGGGCCUUUCCUGAUUUUCUGAGGAGGAAGCCUUUUUUCCUC
rnacentral:lncRNA from 1 species